CUGAUCCUUGACAACUAAAUCGCCAACUGUGACAGCAUCAUUACUAAAAAAACCAGCAAUUGCUCCAGUGCCGUAAUGAAUUGCGGCAGCU
rnacentral:sRNA from 1 species